rnacentral:rRNA from 1 species
AGAGUUUGAUCAUGGCUCAGAUUGAACGCUGGCGGCAGGCCUAACACAUGCAAGUCGAACGGUAACAGGAAGCAGCUUGCUGCUUCGCUGACGAGUGGCGGACGGGUGAGUAAUGUCUGGGAAGCUGCCUGAUGGAGGGGGAUAACUACUGGAAACGGUAGCUAAUACCGCAUAAUGUCGCAAGACCAAAGAGGGGGACCUUCGGGCCUCUUGCCAUCGGAUGUGCCCAGAUGGGAUUAGCUUGUUGGUGGGGUAACGGCUCACCAAGGCGACGAUCCCUAGCUGGUCUGAGAGGAUGACCAGCCACACUGGAACUGAGACACGGUCCAGACUCCUACGGGAGGCAGCAGUGGGGAAUAUUGCACAAUGGGCGCAAGCCUGAUGCAGCCAUGCCGCGUGUAUGAAGAAGGCCUUCGGGUUGUAAAGUACUUUCAGCGGGGAGGAAGGGAGUAAAGUUAAUACCUUUGCUCAUUGACGUUACCCGCAGAAGAAGCACCGGCUAACUCCGUGCCAGCAGCCGCGGUAAUACGGAGGGUGCAAGCGUUAAUCGGAAUUACUGGGCGUAAAGCGCACGCAGGCGGUUUGUUAAGUCAGAUGUGAAAUCCCCGGGCUCAACCUGGGAACUGCAUCUGAUACUGGCAAGCUAGAGUCUCGUAGAGGGGGGUAGAAUUCCAGGUGUAGCGGUGAAAUGCGUAGAGAUCUGGAGGAAUACCGGUGGCGAAGGCGGCCCCCUGGACGAAGACUGACGCUCAGGUGCGAAAGCGUGGGGAGCAAACAGGAUUAGAUACCCUGGUAGUCCACGCCGUAAACGAUGUCGACUUGGAGGUUGUGCCCUUGAGGCGUGGCUUCCGGAGCUAACGCGUUAAGUCGACCGCCUGGGGAGUACGGCCGCAAGGUUAAAACUCAAAUGAAUUGACGGGGGCCCGCACAAGCGGUGGAGCAUGCGGUUUAAUUCGAUGCAACGCGAAGAACCUUACCUGGUCUUGACAUCCACGGAAGUUUUCAGAGAUGAGAAUGUGCCUUCGGGAACCGUGAGACAGGUGCUGCAUGGCUGUCGUCAGCUCGUGUUGUGAAAUGUUGGGUUAAGUCCCGCAACGAGCGCAACCCUUAUCCUUUGUUGCCAGCGGUCCGGCCGGGAACUCAAAGGAGACUGCCAGUGAUAAACUGGAGGAAGGUGGGGAUGACGUCAAGUCAUCAUGGCCCUUACGACCAGGGCUACACACGUGCUACAAUGGCGCAUACAAAGAGAAGCGACCUCGCGAGAGCAAGCGGACCUCAUAAAGUGCGUCGUAGUCCGGAUUGGAGUCUGCAACUCGACUCCAUGAAGUCGGAAUCGCUAGUAAUCGUGGAUCAGAAUGCCACGGUGAAUACGUUCCCGGGCCUUGUACACACCGCCCGUCACACCAUGGGAGUGGGUUGCAAAAGAAGUAGGUAGCUUAACCUUCGGGAGGGCGCUUACCACUUUGUGAUUCAUGACUGGGGUGAAGUCGAAACAAGGUA